rnacentral:lncRNA from 1 species
CACAGGCCGCCUCAUGUUGGGGACCGACGGUCGUAUCUGGGUCCCAGGGCUGGCACAGUCUGUCCUGGAGUGGCCAGGCUCAGGGCAUCAGCAGCACCGGCUUGGCCAUGGCUCGGCCAUGGCUCGUGCUCAGGAGAAGGCCGUGGAGAAGCGGGCCCCGGUCCUUCAGGGACGCCACCACAUUUUGUCACACGACGCUGCCACCGAAUCCAUAACCAGCCAAAGCACUUGCGUCUCCGCAGGGUCCAGAGGGCCCCUCCUCGCAGACACGGUGCCUUGGGAAGGUGGCGGCCACGUGGGAGUGUUGGCACAGCCCUCCCAACGAGGUGGCAGCCCGAGUGGCCGCAGGCAGGGCGCCCCUGAGGAGCAGCUCCCAGGGCUCCCGUGUUCUCGGCCGCCACAUCCCCUUCAGACCCCACCCGCGAGGCUCACGAUGCCCGUGCUUGUGGGAGGGCCGGCCCAGGAGCUGCCAGAUGCACAUCUGGUGUGGGGCCCGGUGUGGGGCCCGAUGUCAGACCCAGCAGGCGCGGCAGCCGAGGGGUCAGGGGCGGCCCUGGCGGCCUCGUGUCUGAGCGUGGAGCCCCCCUCCGUGGAAGGCGUUCGCGGUGGCUGUGGAGGACAUGCCAUCUGCUUGCUGCGUCCUGGUGGGUCCCUGGGGGUCAGGCAGUCAGACCAGAAUGAGAGACACUGGGAGAUGGUGACUUCCUGGCUGUACCAGUCGCCAGCGUCCACGGAGCACGGAGGGGCCAGGGAGGUGGUGGGCCCGGGGCAGAGUCAGCACCGACCUCCCGCCUGGCCUGGUUUCUCCGGGCGCAACGUCCAGACCUUCCGACGUCUUCCAGAGGACUUUCCGGGUCCGCUGUGGGUGCGAAGCGCGGCGUCCCCGAUCAGAGGGCACUACUCAGGGACUCGCUGGCCUCUGCAUUCUCGGCGUGAGGGUUUUGCAAAGUGAAAAGAGCAUUUUUGAUGUCUUGCUGAGUUUCCUGGACGGUCCGUCCUUGCGUGGUUGUACCGUUCCUUUGCCGCUUUGGGAACCAGACGGUCCUGGGUCACACCGCUGGUAGAGGGCCACGGCGUCCCCGCAGCGGGCAGCGGCUCAGACACCGGCCCCCCUUCCUGCCGAGCGUGUGUGCGGCCGGUCCUCAGCACUGUUUAUCCUGUCGGUGCCGCGUGGAAAUGUCAGGCAAGAACAUGCGCUAGUGAGAUGCAUUUAUUUUUAUAAUAUGUAAUAACUGGCAGCGCCCAUCUGUAUAAACAGAAUCAACCACUCUUAGAUUGUUUGGGGGGGACUGGUGCGGCUCUCUGAAGGUAAAUGUUAAACCCUAGCUCCAAAUACACAUCUCUUUGAAAAUGAGUUGUAGCUGACAUUUGCUUUGCACUGAACAAUUUUUCACUGUCUCAGCUGUUCUGGCCUCUCUGAAAAGGGUUGCAGAUCGGCUACAGAUGAGUCCCCGGGCUCUGUAGGAUUGGCCCAGUUAAUGGAUUGUCCCAGAAAACUGCUGGUCAUGGUGGACAGGGGGCUCGGGAACACUUGUGACACCAUUGGGCAGGCACACGGGAUGGGUGAAGGGGCCCGUGUUCUCCGAGCAGUGGGGAGCCCUGAGCGACCAUCUCUCUCCUCUCCCGGGGAUCAGAGCCAAUUGCUGAAAGCAUUGAAAUGCCCGGAACACCAUGUGUGUUUGCCUCGAAGUCCUUGCUGCCUGGCUGCCGUCCUGGGUGCCCAGCAGCUACAUACUUCCCGGGAGGAUGAGCUGAGCGGAGACAGUCCUCCAUCCGACAGCUGCUGCGGUGGCUCUGGUCCACGAGACGGCAAAGCCCCCAGGGUGCACAGGCUCCUCCACAGCUGCCGUGUCUGAUGCCGGGACCGCGGGGCCCUCGGCGCUGCCGGAGCCAGACCUCCUGUCUGGGGAGCUUACCACCCAGUCCAACCAGCAGAGGAGGAAAAGGGGGUGCAGGAAGGUGAGCUUGCCCCCGGUUUCACGCAGGUAAAUGGAGGAAGUGGGAUUGGCCCUUGUUUGUGGUGAAGCUUACCCUGUGUGCACUUGACAGAGUUCCUAUACUGUGAGAUGACGGGGAUGUCAACAACAUUGGAGGGGGAAAGGACAGUGUCUUCAACAGAUAGUGCUGGGGGACCCAGACCCUGACCUCACACCUCCUACGACAUUAACUCCACGUGGGUCAAAGGCCUAAAACCGUAAAACUCUUAGAAGAAAGUGCAGGGCACAAGCUUAGCAACGUUGGACUUGGCAGUGAUUUCUGGGGUAGGACACCGAAGGCACAGGCGGAAACUUAAUGUUGGUGCAUCAGACGCUAUCAUCGGGUAAAAAAAUGCAACCCAUAGAAUGGGAGAAAAUACACCUUUGACGUCUGGUAGGGGACUGACCUCGAGGAUAGGCAGAGAAACUCUAAAACUAAACAGAAACGAACCUGAUCCAAGAAGAGGCCGAAGGCUCCAGCAGGCAUUUCUGCACAGAAGAUGCACACAGGGCCCACAAGCCCCUGAAAAGAUGCUUGGCAUCGCUAACCACGUGGGAAAUGCAAAUCAAAGCUACAGUGAGAUCCCACCUGACACCCACGAGGAUGGCAAGUGUGGAAAACAAGCAAACCCAGGAGCUGGCGGGAGUGUGGAUGCAUUGGAACCCUGUGCAGCGCUGCUGGAACCUCAAAGGGCGCAGCUGCUGUGGGAAACGGGGUGGCAGUUCCGCACAACAUUACAAAUAGAAUUACCCGAUGAGCCAGUAAUUCCACUGUGGGCUUUUUUUUUUUUAAGAUUUUAUUUAUUUAUUCAUGAGCAACACAGAGAGACAGAGACACAGGCAGAGGAAGAAGCAGGCUCCCUGUGGGGAGCCCAAUGCAGGACUCGAUCCCGGGACCCCAGGACCUCGCCCUGGGCCGAAGGCAGACGCUCAACCGCUGGGCCCCCCAGGGGUUCCCUCCACUGUGGUUCUGUGCCCGAGAGAGUGGAAAGCAAAGUCCUGAAAACGCACUUCCAGGUUGACGGCCACGUCCUCCACCGUGGCUGAAUCACAGGAGCCACCCAGGGGUCCGCCGGGGGGGUGAGUGUGAUCUCGGCCUACGAGGGGCUACUGCUCAGCCUGGAGGACGGGCAUCGGGGACCCGCGGCCGCACGGGCACAUCCCGAGGACGUCGUGCUGGGUGACACGGCAGCCCAGGGGCCGGCGCUGCGGGCUUCCACUUACAGCACGUGGGCGGGGGGACGGGGCUGGGGGCAGACGGGGCUGGGGGCGGCUCUGUGCCAGGUGACGGGGCUCUGCAGGCGGACGGUGGCGCCGCUGCACGUCGCGGCGUCUUUGCCACCAGCACAUGGCACGCUCCACGAGGGUUAAGGUGGUCACGCUCAUGUCGUGUAUAUUUUACCACAAUAAAAAAAA